rnacentral:rRNA from 1 species
CCUACGGGCGGCAGCAGUGGGGAAUAUUGGACAAUGGGCGAAAGCCUGAUCCAGCCAUGCCGCGUGUGUGAAGAAGGCCUUCGGGUUGUAAAGCACUUUCAGUGGGGAAGAAAGCCUUGGGGCUAAUACCCUCGAGGAAGGACAUCACCCACAGAAGAAGCACCGGCUAACUCCGUGCCAGCAGCCGCGGUAAUACGGAGGGUGCGAGCGUUAAUCGGAAUUACUGGGCGUAAAGCGCGCGUAGGCGGUCUGAUAAGCCGGUUGUGAAAGCCCCGGGCUCAACCUGGGAACGGCAUCCGGAACUGUCAGGCUAGAGUGCAGGAGAGGAAGGUAGAAUUCCCGGUGUAGCGGUGACAUGCGUAGAGAUCGGGAGGAAUACCAGUGGCGAAGGCGGCCUUCUGGACUGACACUGACGCUGAGGUGCGAAAGCGUGGGUAGCAAACAGGAUUAGAUACCCCAGUAGUC